rnacentral:tRNA from 1 species
GUAGGUAUAGCUCAGUGGUGGGGUGCAUGCCUAGCAUGCAUGAGGUUAUGGGUUCAAUCCCCAGUACCUCCA